ACGCUGGCGGCAUGCUUUACACAUGCAAGUCGAACGGCAGCGGGGUAGUGCUUGCACUACUGUCCGGCGAGUGGCGAACGGGUGAGUAAUAUAUCGGAACGUACCGAGUAAUGGGGGAUAACCAAUCGAAAGAUUGGCUAAUACCGCAUACGUCCUACGGGAGAAAGCGGGGGAUCGCAAGACCUCGCGUUAUUCGAGCGGCCGAUAACUGAUUAGCUAGUUGGUGGGGUAAAGGCCUACCAAGGCGACGAUCAGUAGCGGGUCUGAGAGGACGAUCCGCCACACUGGGACUGAGACACGGCCCAGACUCCUACGGGAGGCAGCAGUGGGGAAUUUUGGACAAUGGGGGCAACCCUGAUCCAGCCAUGCCGCGUGUAUGAAGAAGGCCUUCGGGUUGUAAAGUACUUUUGUUAGGGAAGAAAAGGGAAGUGCUAAUACCACUUUUUGCUGACGGUACCUAAAGAAUAAGCACCGGCUAACUACGUGCCAGCAGCCGCGGUAAUACGUAGGGUGCGAGCGUUAAUCGGAAUUACUGGGCGUAAAGCGAGCGCAGACGGUUAUUUAAGCAGGAUGUGAAAUCCCCGGGCUUAACCUGGGAACUGCGUUCUGAACUGGAUAGCUAGAGUGUGUCAGAGGGGGGUAGAAUUCCACGUGUAGCAGUGAAAUGCGUAGAGAUGUGGAGGAAUACCGAUGGCGAAGGCAGCCCCCUGGGAUAACACUGACGUUCAUGCUCGAAAGCGUGGGUAGCAAACAGGAUUAGAUACCCUGGUAGUCCACGCCCUAAACGAUGUCGAUUAGCUGUUGGGCAACUUGAUUGCUUAGUAGCGUAGCUAACGCGUGAAAUCGACCGCCUGGGGAGUACGGUCGCAAGAUUAAAACUCAAAGGAAUUGACGGGGACCCGCACAAGCGGUGGAUGAUGUGGAUUAA
rnacentral:rRNA from 1 species